AAGACUAUACUUUCAGGGAUCAUUUCUAUAGUUUGUUACUAGAGAAGUUUCUCUGAACGUGUAGAGUACCAGAAAUGAUGAGUUUGUGUCGUUUGUAGGGACAUGGAUGAAUCUGGAGAACAUCAUUCUCAGCAAACUGACACAAGAACAGA
ensembl:snoRNA U3 Small nucleolar RNA U3